rnacentral:lncRNA from 1 species
UUAAGAGUUUUUUUUUUCUUUUUUUUUCUGAGAAUUAACAAGAGGAAAACGUCCUUCUUUCCAAUCCCUUUCCCAAAAUCAGUGUUGAGCAUUCCGCUAUAUGGCUUUAAUUUGAUUUUUGUCCCAAAUUAAAGUUAUACUGAAACGUAUACCUGAUAAAGAAAUUCAUAUUAUAUUAUACGCAACGACCUCUUCUCCUGGAAGUAAUAUUGUUGGGCCAGCACCACCAGAGCCUGCAGCGUAGGAAGAACCUCUGACAAAUACAUUUUUCCAGGAAUUUUGAUGCACCCCGAGAUUAGAAGGAAGGGAAGAAAAGAAAUGUGGACGAAUUUGUUGGCACUUUCAGGUAAGCAAAAAUUUGAUCUCACGUAAAGCUAUAAGAACAUUUAUUUAAUCAUCCUGUACAAGGUGAGAAAUUUCGCUAAGAACAUCUGUGUCUUUUCAAUUAAUUGAAAUGGAGAUUACAAAGAAGAACGAAAAAUAAUAUUGAUAUGUUUUGGGUACUUAGAGAUAAAAAUAAAAAAUAAAAUCAAUUGCCAUUAAAGCAAUGGUUCGUUUACUCUAUUUGAUUUUCAAAGUUACUGUUCAAAUCAACCUGAACGGAAAUACAAAUUGUACAAAGAGAUUAAUUACCGGUCCCCUGUCUGUGUCGUUAGUAGGAAUUGCACCAGAGACAAGAGUGGACGGAAAAAAAAAGCUGAUAAACACUCUUGGGGUAUUCUGAGUUAAAUAAGCAAAUUAAUGAAUGAUCACCAAAAAAUCAAUUUAAAGCAUGAUUAUGAAAUAAAUAAAUAAAUUUAAGAAGUAAUAGUUCAAAGAAAAUUCAGUUCAAAGUUCAGCUUUCCUAUUUCCGCCUCUGAAUCUAGCCAUCAUUUCUAAGAUGAUCCUUAUCAUCAAUUAGCAUCUUUCAUUUUUUUGCAGCCAAUUUCUUCGUAUAGAGAGAAUAACUGGGAAUCAAACGUGUGGAAAUGCAAGUGGAAUGCCAUGGAUAAGGUGGUUAGCCCGACAACUAAGGAUAAAGACAGAUUAUAUGGAAUGGUAUGUGGUGAAUUGAUCAAUCAAGAUAGGUCACACUAGAAAAUUCCAUUGCCUUAAAAGAAGAUUUUAGUAACAUGUCGAUAAGAAAAGAAAUGACAUAAUGGAGCUAUUCUGAAACCAUAAGAUAUGUCGAUUACCUUUAUCUCACCUUGGUCAUAGUAAAACCUUUUAUGCUCAUUCUUCAUUAUAGUAAAACUAGUAACAAAAGGUGGACGUAACUCUCACAUUGAGGGUGAAUCAUAAUAAAUCAGUAUGUUUGCUUUCAGUUUUUAUUCUAUUUAUACUCUCUCUUGUAAGAACAGAUUAGCCCAUAAUGCCGAACACAAUUUUUAACAAUAAAUUCUCACUCUAUUUGGCCAAAUAUACUGGUAUAAUUUUAUUUUCUUAUGUUUUCAAGUCCACCAGUUCAAUUACAGCUUCAUAUUUCGUUAAGUUUUGUAACCAAGCAUAGAAACAAGAGCUAAUCAGGACGCAGAAAAACCCAC